rnacentral:lncRNA from 1 species
ACAGUGAUAGGCAGCCAGCUGGGCAGGUACUUCUUUUCAAAAGAGCUGAAUUAUUGCUCGUUAAGAAGUCUCCACAUGGACUCUAAUCGCCAGUAGGCGCUCUUCUUGCUGAAGGCUGUACCUGGGAUCGUGUUGGGCCUCUCUCUCUCUCUGGCCGUGGGUUCUUGGCAAUUUCUCAAACCGAUAGUUUUUAAUAUCGCCAGAGAGUGACAGUCUCCGUUCCAUAAUCUGUAGUGAUUCCCACAAAUGAUUGGGAGAUGUCGCAGUUAAUAAUUGCUCGACCGUAGCCAGGCAUUGGCGUGCUCCAGUGAUUUGCAAUAUAAUACUCGCUCGCGCCCGCGCAUAUGUAGAGAGGGAUGGGAACCAGUGGAGAAAAUGUGCUCCAGUGAUUUGCCAUGUUGGGGUGUAGUUUACAAGAUUUGGAUCUGCUAUGGAAGAGAAGAAUAGUCCGAAGGACGUGUUCUUGGUGUCCCAUAUGACGCUCUAGUCUAGUCUUCUGGAUGAAUAUAUUUCUGCGUGCAGAGAUCUCUGGGUCAAAAACCUACGAUUUUUAUGAUCUAAAAGUAAAUAAGAAGAUUAUCAACCUACGAAUGGCAUCCAAAUGAAGCUCACAUCCUUCUUGACAUGCCAGGAGAGAAGAUGCGGCUCAUACUUUAAUGUCUCAGGGAGCAAUGGUUUUCACCAAGCUUAAUCACAGCCUCAGAUGGGCUUUCUAGCAAGGUUCAUGCGACACGGCGCGCAUGACUGCGCAUAUAAAUGUGAGAUCAAUAUAUGCAUGCAUCACAAUAGAUUUUUCCGACAAGAUGUACGUAACAGAGGAAAUCAGAGCUUGGAUCAUCAAGAGAGACCCUAUCAAAGCAAGAUCACCUUGAGAUAGGUCGUGAGAAUAACGUCCACGGGUCCGAGGGCGAUUUAAAGGCUUUAAUACGAGCUCAAGUGAAGCCAAGCCCCAUCGUCCGUCCGUGUGUGUGUGUGUGUGCGCGCGCGCGUGUGUGUGAUUGUGUGAUACAGAGAAAUUAGCACAGGUAUGUGAUUCUGAGGACAGAGAAAGGUUGUAUAAACUUGAAUGAACCCCAAUCAAAGCCCGUAUCUUUCUCGACGAGGACCAAACCGACUUGGGGCCUUCAUUUGCACCGCGCGUUGCCUAGCACGCUACGCACGCUAUCGCCCCUAAUCAGCGAGGUUGAAAACGUCCUCCGUUUGUUGUCCGGGUGAAUGAUAGGCUAUUGCCUCCAUGGUGAGCUUCCAAUUGCGCCGACGACUACCCGAUAAGGACAGCGGCUUCUCCAUUGGGUCGUCCUCCUCGCCGGAGGGGGUGGGCCGGGCUUCCGUCGACUGCCUGGCGAGGGAAUUUAAUGGCGGAGUAGGAGAUUGGUGGGUAAGAUGAGCCCAAUCCCCGCCCUACGCGACAAGCUAGUGUGAGAGAAUGAGAUGGGGACAGGAAGAGUCUGGACAGAGGGAAAGGGAAUGGAGAAUGGAGCUUGAUUAGAUGGGCACGAUUGGACUAAUGGCGUGCUGGAAAAGAAAGAUAAGAGUGAAAAGAAGCUAGAGCACCUCCGUUCGCGUUCACGAAC